rfam:Aedes aegypti strain Liverpool supercont1.374 genomic scaffold, whole genome shotgun sequence.
UGCCCAGCAACUCCUAUCCCUACCUCCUCGCGGUACUGGCCUUGGUACGAGUAACCUUAGGGAAGAUCGGGUUACCAACCUCCGGUGGGAAGG